GACGAACGCUGGCGGCGUGCUUAACACAUGCAAGUCGAACGAAGUGGCGAACGGGUGAGUAACGCGUAAUCAACCUGCCCUUCAGAGGGGGACAACAGUUGGAAACGACUGCUAAUACCGCAUACUGAAGGAGGGGAUUGCGUCUGAUUAGCUAGGUGGAGGGGUAACGGCCCACCAAGGCGAUGAUCAGUAGCCGGUCGGAGAGGAUGGACGGCCACAUUGGGACUGAGACAAGGCCCAGACUCCUACGGGAGGGAGCAGGGGGGGAACUUCCGCAAUUGACGAAAGUCUGACGGCACACAGCCGCGUGAGUGAUGACGGCCUUCGGGUUGUAAAGCUCUGUUAAUCGGGACGCGGUACCGACAUAGAAAGCCACGGCUAACUACGUGCCAGCAGCCGCGGUAAUUC
rnacentral:rRNA from 1 species